rnacentral:rRNA from 1 species
GGGGGCAACCCUGGCGGCGAGCGGCGAACGGGUGAGUAAUACAUCGGAACGUACCCAGGAGUGGGGGAUAACACAUCGAAAGAUGUGCUAAUACCGCAUACGCCCUGAGGGGGAAAGCGGGGGAUCGCAAGACCUCGCGCUGUUGGAGCGGCCGAUGUCGGAUUAGCUAGUUGGUAGGGUAAAGGCCUACCAAGGCGACGAUCCGUAGCUGGUCUGAGAGGAUGAUCAGCCACACUGGGACUGAGACACGGCCCAGACUCCUACGGGAGGCAGCAGUGGGGAAUUUUGGACAAUGGGGGCAACCCUGAUCCAGCCAUUCCGCGUGAGUGAAGAAGGCCUUCGGGUUGUAAAGCUCUUUCGGCAGGAACGAAACGGCGGGCUCUAACAUGGCCUGUCAAUGACGGUACCUGAAGAAGAAGCACCGGCUAACUACGUGCCAGCAGCCGCGGUAAUACGUAGGGUGCGAGCGUUAAUCGGAAUUACUGGGCGUAAAGCGUGCGCAGGCGGUUUUGUAAGACAGCUGUGAAAUCCCCGGGCUUAACCUGGGAACUGCGGUUGUGACUGCAAGACUAGAGUGCGGCAGAGGGGGGUGGAAUUCCACGUGUAGCAGUGAAAUGCGUAGAGAUGUGGAGGAACACCGAUGGCGAAGGCAGCCCCCUGGGUUGACACUGACGCUCAUGCACGAAAGCGUGGGUAGCAAACAGGAUUAGAUACCCUGGUAGUCCACGCCCUAAACGAUGCCAACUAGGUGUUGGGGAAGGAGACUUCCUUAGUACCGUAGCUAACGCGUGAAGUUGGCCGCCUGGGGAGUACGGUCGCAAGAUUAACACUCAGACGAAUUGACGGAGACCCACACAAGCGGUGGAUGAUGUGGAUAAUUCGAUGC